rnacentral:tRNA from 1 species
GCCUGAGUGGCUCAGUCAGUUAAGCAUCCGACUUCGGCUCAGGUCAUGAUCUCACAGUCUGUGGGUUCGAGUCCCACAUCAGGCU